GGCAAUCUUUAAAAUGAGGUUGGGAUGAGUCACUUUCCCUUCUGAUUUCUAAAUGCCAAGAGAUCUGAGUUACUUCUUCAAGUCACAGCUAUGAAUAUCCUCUGGCUAAGCCUGUGUACUGGCUUUGUCUAACCUGGCUUGGAGUGUGUGUUUGUGUGUGUGUGUGUGUGUGUGUGUGUGUGUGUGUGUGUGUGUGUGUGUGUUUUGUUGCUGUUAUUGUUGUUGUUUUUGUUUUGUUGUUUCUUGUCUAUUCCGUAGCAUAUAAGGAAUUUGCAUGUCAUUCUUGUUUAGGGGCCGUUCUAACUAUUGCCGUUCUAACUAUCACUGUUGCUCCUGUUUUAGUGUUAAGUGUUGAAGUGCUGCUGAAGGAGUGCAGGGUGCUUGAAAAACUUAGUAACGACAACAACAGCAACAGCAACAGUAGCAACAACAACAAAGCAAGCACUGUUUCCACAGACAUGGACUAGGAACAUUGUUCUGAGUGGUAAGCCAUGCUCCUAUCUCUCUAUGGAAGUCAGGAGUCCUUCUUCCGGAGGGUAGCUCUAGUAAUUACUCCUCCUCUUCCUCCAACCCCUACCCUUUUCCUCAGGCUGCUGGCCCAGCUUCCCCAAGUCCAGCCUGAGCCUCCCUGGGCUACUUUAGACUUGGCACCAGAGAAUGGAGGUUUUUCAGAGAACUACUUGACAAGAUUCAAGAAGCACUUACAGUCUUAGAAGCCAGGGGUAUGUCUGUGCACCACACAUAUGCCUGGUGCUUUUGGAGGCCAAAAAAAGGGCAACAGAUCGCUUGGAAUGGGAGCUCCAGGUGGUUGUGAGCUGCCCUGUGAGUUCUAGGAACAGAACCCAGGUCCUCUGGGAGAGCAGCAAGUACUCUGAGUCACAGAGCUGUCUAUCCAUCCCCCUCGAUCUCAUCUUCACUAAGUGGGAAAUCACACUGAAGUUCAAUUAUCCUUCUUUAUCGGUGCCCCACCCCUGACACGUGGAGGCAUUUUAUUUAUAAGUAUGUUUGCUUCACCAUGGCCUGUGAUGCUCCCCGGAAUUGUCAGCAAAAUGAAACCAAGUGACGGGUUUGAGCUGCAUGUUCAGUCUGGGGCUGAUUGCUCCACACUCGUGAUCACUGGCUGCCUGUGAGGUCCAGGACCAUCUUCCCAGCUCUGUAGUCCCCAGUGAUUUCAAACUCCUUAAUGUAACCACGUUCCCUCACCACAGACUAUGACUUUGGAAUUCAAUAAGAACCUGGCACAUGCCUUGUUGCUAUUCUCGAGGGCAUCAGCCAGGACAUUGACAUGCGCCAUUUUGGUGGUAUAGAAAGAUGGUAGAGAUAUAUAUGCCUUUGAUAUAAAGCUGCCUGUAUAUCAAAAUCAAUGUUUUUAUUUUGCUAGAGUUUUUCAUCAGGUAUUUUUCAUAUAUCUUGAUCUAGCAUCUAUAAACAUAAUAUUAAUAUAAACUGAAAUUAUUUUGUUAUUAACUUAUUUUAGUCACAUGUUAAUGGGAUUGAUGUGAUAUUUCCACACAUAUGAGAUGGAUUGAUUAUGUCCAAAUGCCCCUUUCCCCGCCACGCUCUACAUUAAUAUUAAUGCUGGAUGGAUUCUAUCCAUACCCAAUGGAAGUAACUUAGUAUCUUAAAUGAAAUAGAAAUGUCUCAAAUGUGGCACCUUCCUCUUCACUACUAUAACCUACCAAGAUCAAGAUGACGAUCAUAUGUCUGUUCUUAAGCAGCUCUACCCGAGGGACCCCCCUAACCUUCCCCAGGCUUCAGAGAAGGAGUGUUUCCCCAGUUUGAAGCAAGAGUAGAGACUGGGAAGCCCAGAUCUUUCCACAGCAGAAAUUAUCUCUAUAAUAAGACCAAAAUGGUACAAGUUGCAUGGGGCUAUGGGAACAAAGCACCCUUUACGUGCAAACCAUACUGACACCAUGAGUUCCCUUUCUUCUGCCCUCCAGCCCUUUUCAUCCUCCUGUCUUUCUCAAUAAGAAAGCCUGAAUCCUGGCGUGUGCUCACGCAAAUCUAAGGCUAGCUUCCUUGUGGUGGGUUUGGCUGUGCGACUGGUGACAGGAAAUCGGGCAGAGAUCUGGGUAUGACUUCCGGGUUUUUCCUAAUGAGAGGCUCUUUGCCACCUUCUCAUGUGUUUUCCUCCUCUUAGGCUGGAGGGUGGGUGUCCUGGUGAGCUCUCUCUAUAGGGUGGACUGAGGUAACUCCUUAGCAAAGGGUAGAGCGACCGGGGGAAAGGGUGAGCAUCACCCCGUGACCUUCUAUAAGCUGCAGACCGUUUUCCUCCGUUGUUAGUAAAUUGCUCUGUGGUUGACCGUUGUGUUUUAAAAUCUUGUACUACCAUUGUCAAGCUUGCAGACUACCCCGUGCUUACCUUACUGUCUGCUAAACGGAAACGCUGGACAGAUAACUCACCAGCCGU